CUUCAAGAAUACACUCAAUUGGUGAUUGACAUACCUUAAGAGUACAGAAGUCAUGGGUCCAGGGAAGCUAAAGUAUGGUCACCAGCAUUUAAUUUUGAAAUAAACAAUACAAGGACCGCAGGGGAUAGUAUUGAGAGUAAAAUAGGGUCUUAUUUGUCAAAUGGAUUGCCGAGAAUUGAACCUCUUAAAACUUGUUCUGGUCCCAUAAGAAUUGGUUUAUCGAAAAGGAUCAAAACUAAACAUCUACAUC